rnacentral:rRNA from 1 species
GAUGAACGCUGGCGGCGUGCCUAAUACAUGCAAGUCGAGCGAACAGACGAGGAGCUUGCUCCUCUGAUGUUAGCGGCGGACGGGUGAGUAACACUUGGAUAACCUACCUAUAAGACUGGGAUAACUUCGGGAAACCGGAGCUAAUACCGGAUAACAUGUUGAACCGCAUGGUUCAACAGUGAAAGACGGUCUUGCUGUCACUUAUAGAUGGAUCCGCGCCGCAUUAGCUAGUUGGUAAGGUAACGGCUUACCAAGGCAACGAUGCGUAGCCGACCUGAGAGGGUGAUCGGCCACACUGGAACUGAGACACGGUCCAGACUCCUACGGGAGGCAGCAGUAGGGAAUCUUCCGCAAUGGGCGAAAGCCUGACGGAGCAACGCCGCGUGAGUGAAGAAGGUCUUCGGAUCGUAAAACUCUGUUAUUAGGGAAGAACAAAUGUGUAAGUAACUAUGCACGUCUUGACGGUACCUAAUCAGAAAGCCACGGCUAACUACGUG